UAAAUUUCAAAUGUUUAUCAUUAUUUGGUAAACGGCUGUCAAAAUUCAAGGUGUGUACAUACAUUCGCAAUAAGAUAAUAGAUAAUUAAAAAAAGAAGCAGAACUCUAAGAAGAAAGAGUUAAAUUAUAUAUACAUAUAUAUAUAUAUUAUAAUGUCUUGUGGAGGAUGUUCGCCAUGCUGUCCCCCAAUGCCCUGUUGUGUAACACCCGCAACGGGAUGCUGCCCACCAUGUCCACCAGCGUGUGUACCAUACUCAUGUUGCCCAUCACCUUGCUUGGCUUGCCCUCCCCCAUGUAAAAUUACGAUAUGCACUCCACCAGUGCCGUGCGGACCUUGUCCGCCGAAAUGUGUUCCAUAUUGCCCGCCUGCAUGCCCAGCAAGAUGUCUAGGCAGUGUCACAACGCGUCCUAUUAAAUGGACUACAUUUUUCUAGGACAGUUCCCCAUUAUGUAUGAUGCAAGAUAACAAUACCUCCUCCACCUGUUCCUCAACCAAAAAUAUAUAUACCCAAAGGACCAUGCUGCAAGCCCUGUUGUUUUCAUGUUCCAGGCCCAAAAUGCUGCCUUUAUAUGUAUUGGCGUUUACCAUGUAAAGCAGAUUGUUUCGAAGUGUAAAAGACAUUUUGACGUGACAACAAAUUAUAACAUGAUUUUAUUGUAACACAUCACAAAAAUGAAUGGUUCGAAAAAUACAAUAUCAAGAAAACAUAAUUAA